rfam:Aedes albopictus isolate Foshan contig95565, whole genome shotgun sequence.
AUACUUACCUGGCACAGGGGUUACCGUGAUCAGCAAGGCGGUUCCCCCAGGGUGAGACCGGGCCAUUGCACAUCCGUGCCUGGUUGACUCCUGUGAAUAUCCCUCAAGUGGAUAUCUCGUGUGUGUAAUUUUUGAUAGCCGGGAAGUGCGUUCGCGCACAUCCCGA